rnacentral:lncRNA from 1 species
UAUGGGAGCCUCUCACAAGCAUGAAAAAUCCAAGUAUUCAGAUGGAAGUUGGGGCUCUUAUUUUCCAGCUUGGGCCUGUACCAGGGCUACAAGGACAUACAAUGCUAAAUCAAUUAAAAACCAAAAUCUACUCAAAACCAUUUAUUUCAAAAAAGUUCUGGAGAUGGAUGGUGGCGAUGGUUACACAGCAAUGUGAAUGUGCUUAAUGUCACUGAACUGUACGCUUAAAAAUGGUUAGGAUGGUAAAGUUUUUUUUUUUUUUCCUUAGGGGGAUCCUUUAUUUCAUUCACUUCCUCCUUACAAGGUGAAAUUUCAAUCUGUACAGGUUGUGUCUGCCAGUUCAGUCCACAGCUCAGAGUAUCACCUUGUCCUCAUUCCAUGGUAUAAGCUGUUGUGGGGGGACAGGUCUGAGGGUCGUGGAUUCACUGGACUGGAUGGGACAUGAUCCAGAACUCCACUCCGUUUGGCUUCCCAAGGAUCCCACCACCUCAUUCUAAUCAGUGAUCAUUGAGGAAAUGCAUUGUAUUCCUAUUCACUAUUUCAAAGAUCAGGCCUACCUCAUUGGCAUAUUAAGAAAGUUUUCUCAAGUAUAUUUAGUGUUUAUCAUUUUACUAUAGUUCUUCAAAUGUCUGACAUUCAUCCUUUCCCUACCUCUACAUUCCUUUCUUUUUCACAUUAUCUUUCUUGAUUGCUUUUUAAUAGAAAAACAAACAAAGACAUGGAUUUACUGUGCAUAUUAGCAGAUCCAUACUGGAAAAUGCAUGGAGGUUUCAUAUACACCACUUACAGUAAGUAAUAACUCAGAGUAUAAAGUCGAAAAGAAAGAAUCUGAAAUAUUAGACUUGUUCUGAAAUAAGCUUACCUAGGAUGAUACCACUUUCACUUAAUCAGGAUUUCCCAACUAUUUAACAGUGGCAAAUAUAAAAAAUCUGGUAGUUAAAAUACACAGCAGUCACUUCAUAUUACUGCCUCCCUCAACCCACUCAACUUCUGAAGAACAGGGCUUUUUCAAGUUUUGUUCCCCUUUAAGUUUUAAUAGAAAAAAAAAAAAAGUUUUAAGUCAUGUUGUACCAAUAUAUCCCCAGCAAGAAUUGCAAUUUACCAAGGUUUUCACGUGUUUUGAGAGAAAUCUUACUGAAAGACUAGUGAUGUCCAUUUUCCAGUAAAUACUGAGCGAAAAACAAUUUUUAUACCCCAAUCUGAGGUAUAAACUUGCUUUUUGUGGGAUCACAACUGCUGUAAAUUAGACAGUUGUAGCAACAAUCCAAGACAAUAACAGAAUGCCUAUGACAGUCUGCCAUAUUCUGGUGAGUGUCUAUCAAAGCUCAUCAUGAUUUUUUGUGAGAUCUUCCCCGUAAUUGGUAGCUUGGCUUCCAACAAACAUGUUCCAGUUCUCCAAUAUUUCCUCUUUAGUUAGCUUCUCAUCCUUGUUUUUGUCUGACUCAUAUACCAGAUGCCUGGCCUCAGCCUGUGCAUGAUCAUAAUCUUGAGGGAGGAUCCAGUGGCGAAUCUCAUCUUUGUCUAACUUCCCGUCCUUGUUCAGAUCCCGGAAUUCGUUAAACUGCUCCCGUUCUGAUAAAACCCAGUCUGGCUCAGGGCCAUUCUCCUCAUGGGAAAACAUAUCCGCAAUAUACUCAUCCUGAUCCACAAACCCAUCCCCGUUCUUGUCGAUGUCCUCCAGGGUUUCCAAAGCCACAAUUUCCUUCAUAUGUUCAAACUCUUCAGGAUGCAGAAAGGCAGUGAACUCCUCCGGAGUAGCUGUCAGGUCACCAUUGAGGUCUGCAGCUUUGAAUCUUCUCUCAUCACGUGGCAGCAUCUUUUUAAAGGUGUGAUGAUCUGAAGAAUCAUGAAACUCUGCGGGGUUUCCUAGGUUUUCAGCUCCUCAGUAGUGACAAAGCCAUACCCAUCAUUGUCGAUUCGAUCAACAAUCUUCCCUAGCCUCUCCUUGCUCUCGUCCGGGGUGAGCUCGUCGAAGUUCUUGGAGUCCUCCUUGCCCAGGAAGGCCUCGUGGUCGUACUGGAAGCUCUGGUUGUCCUCAGGGGGCCGCUCGCCCAGCUCCGAGUCGGGCCGCACCACGCGCUCUUUGCGCACCGUGGGCUUGGCCCGCAGAACCCGCGGCGCCAGCACCAGCGCCAGCAGCAGCCCCAGGGCUAACCCCAGGCGGCCACCGCGCGCCAUCGUCCCGAGGAGAGGGCGGCCGGGAGGGAGACGCUGAGCGAGCGACAACAGCGGCAGCUCGGGAAUGGGGGCUCGGAGCGCGGCGGCCAAGUUUUAUGUUAUGUAUAUUUUACAAGUAAAAAAAUUUUUUCACCUCAGCCUGAACUGAACACUAGCUGACAGACGUUUUGAUUUCUUUGACCAUCACGGAAUCGUGGCCAAGCGCGGUGGCUCACAUCUGUAAUCCCAACACUUUGGGAGGUCAAGAUGGGCGGAUUGCUUGAAUCCAGGUGUUUGAGAUCAGCCUGGGCAACAUGACAAAACCCUGUUUCUAGUAAAAAUACAAAAAUUAACCAGGCUCAAGCCAUGACCAUGCACCAUUGCACUCCAGCCUAGGCGAC